UCAUGGCUCAGGACGAACGCUGGCGGCGUGCCUAAUACAUGCAAGUCGAACGAACUCUGGUAUUGAUUGGUGCUUGCAUCAUGAUUUACAUUUGAGUGAGUGGCGAACUGGUGAGUAACACGUGGGAAACCUGCCCAGAAGCGGGGGAUAACACCUGGAGACAGAUGCUAAUACCGCAUAACAACUUGGACCGCAUGGUCCGAGUUUGAAAGAUGGCUUCGGCUAUCACUUUUGGAUGGUCCCGCGGCGUAUUAGCUAGAUGGUGAGGUAACGGCUCACCAUGGCAAUGAUACGUAGCCGACCUGAGAGGGUAAUCGGCCACAUUGGGACUGAGACACGGCCCAAACUCCUACGGGAGGCAGCAGUAGGGAAUCUUCCACAAUGGACGAAAGUCUGAUGGAGCAACGCCGCGUGAGUGAAGAAGGGUUUCGGCUCGUAAAACUCUGUUGUUAAAGAAGAACAUAUCUGAGAGUAACUGUUCAGGUAUUGACGGUAUUUAACCAGAAAGCCACGGCUAACUACGUGCCAGCAGCCGCGGUAAUACGUAGGUGGCAAGCGUUGUCCGGAUUUAUUGGGCGUAAAGCGAGCGCAGGCGGUUUUUUAAGUCUGAUGUGAAAACCUUCGGCUCAACCGAAGAAGUGCAUCGGAAACUGGGAAACUUGAGUGCAGAAGAGGACAGUGGAACUCCAUGUGUAGCGGUGAAAUGCGUAGAUAUAUGGAAGAACACCAGUGGCGAAGGCGGCUGUCUGGUCUGUAACUGACGCUGAGGCUCGAAAGUAUGGGUAGCAAACAGGAUUAGAUACCCUGGUAGUCCAUACCGUAAACGAUGAAUGCUAAGUGUUGGAGGGUUU
rnacentral:rRNA from 1 species